rnacentral:rRNA from 1 species
GACGGAGGAUGCAGGCGUUAUCCGGAAUGAUUGGGCGUAAAGCGUCUGCAGGUGGCAGUUCAAGUCUGCUGUCAAAGACCGGGGCUUAACUUCGGAAAGGCAGUGGAAACUGAACAGCUAGAGUGUGGUAGGGGCAGAGGGAAUUCCUGGUGUAGCGGUGAAAUGCGUAGAGAUCAGGAAGAACAUCGGUGGCGAAGGCGCUCUGCUGGACCAUAACUGACACUCAGGGACGAAAGCUAGGGGAGCGAACGGG